UGGCGUCCUCCGGGCGUCCGAGUUGUAAUCUAUAGAGACGUUUUCCGUGCCGGACCGUGUCCAAGUCCCUUGGAACAGGGUAUCAAAGAGGGUGACAAUCCCGUACUUGACACGACGACCGGUGCUCUGUGAUACGUUUUCUACGAGUCGAGUUGUUUGGGAAUGCAGCUCAAAAUGGGUGGUAAAUUCCAUCUAAAGCUAAAUAUAGGCGAGAGACCGAUAGCGAACAAGUACCGUGAGGGAAAGAUGAAAAGCACUUUGGAAAGAGAGUUAAACAGUAUGUGAAAUUGUUGAAAGGGAAACGAUUGAAGUCAGUCAUGUCCAUUGGAUUCAGCUGGUUCUGCCAGUGUAUUUCCUUUGGACGGGUCAACAUCAGUUUGAGCCGACGGAUAAUGGCAGAGGGAAUGUGGCACCCCCGGGUGUGUUAUAGCCCUUUGUCGCAUACGUCGGCCCAGACUGAGGAAUGCAGCUCGCCUUUAUGGCCGGGGUUCGCCCACGUACGAGCUUAGGAUGUUGGCAUAAUGGCUUUAAA
rnacentral:rRNA from 1 species